GAUUAAGUUAUUAAGGGCGCACGGUGGAUGCCUUGGCACUAGAAGCCGAUGAAGGACGUUACUAACGACGAUAUGCUUUGGGUAGCUGUAAGUAAGCGUUGAUCCAGAGAUUUCCGAAUGGGGAACCCCAGCAUGAGUUAUGUCAUGUUAUCGAUAUGUGAAUACAUAGCAUAUCAGAAGGCACACCCGGAGAACUGAAACAUCUUAGUACCCGGAGGAAGAGAAAGAAAAAUCGAUUCCCUGAGUAGCGGCGAGCGAAACGGGAAGAGCCCAAACCAACAAGCUUGCUUGUUGGGGUUGUAGGACACUCUGUACGGAGUUACAAAGGACGAUAUUAGACGAAUCAUCUGGAAAGAUGAAUCAAAGAAGGUAACAAUCCUGUAGUUGAAAAUAUUGUCUCUCUUGAGUGGAUCCUGAGUACGACGGAGCACGUGAAAUUCCGUCGGAAUCUGGGAGGACCAUCUCCCAAGGCUAAAUACUCUCUAGUGACCGAUAGUGAACCAGUACCGUGAGGGAAAGGUGAAAAGCACCCCGGAAGGGGAGUGAAAUAGAACCUGAAACCGUGUGCUUACAAGUAGUCAGAGCCCGUUAAUGGGUGAUGGCGUGCCUUUUGUAGAAUGAACCGGCGAGUUACGAUUUGAUGCAAGGUUAAGCAGUAAAUGUGGAGCCGUAGCGAAAGCGAGUCUGAAUAGGGCGUUUAGUAUUUGGUCGUAGACCCGAAACCAGGUGAUCUACCCUUGGUCAGGUUGAAGUUCAGGUAACACUGAAUGGAGGACCGAACCGACUUACGUUGAAAAGUGAGCGGAUGAACUGAGGGUAGCGGAGAAAUUCCAAUCGAACCUGGAGAUAGCUGGUUCUCUCCGAAAUAGCUUUAGGGCUAGCCUCAAGUGAUGAUUAUUGGAGGUAGAGCACUGUUUGGACGAGGGGCCCUUCUCGGGUUACCGAAUUCAGACAAACUCCGAAUGCCAAUUAAUUUAACUUGGGAGUCAGAACAUGGGUGAUAAGGUCCGUGUUCGAAAGGGAAACAGCCCAGACCACCAGCUAAGGUCCCAAAAUAUAUGUUAAGUGGA
rnacentral:rRNA from 1 species